CCACUUACACCUGAGUGAGGAUGGGAAGAAGAGAAGACAAGGACGAAUGUAGGAAACUGUCAGUUAAAUGACAAUGUAUGGAUGGCAAGAGAGAAAGAAUAGUCAGUGAUGGAAAAAUAAUCAAUAACAGCUUUGGGCUUUUGAGUUUGAAAAUGGUGUGUAGGGUGAGACAACAAUAGGAAACUUCUAAUAAAGAAUGAACAAGUACUUCUACUUGUUCAAUGAAUGUGAAUCUGGUACAUACAUUUGAUCCUUAAAAUAUUCUCACUAAACUGGUAUCAUUUAAUGGAACUGUUUAAUGUUAUCCUGGGCAAGUUACUUACUCAAUUUGCCUUAGCAUCUCAUCUGCAAAAUGUGGAUGAGUACCUACCCCCCAGGGUUAUGUCAAAAAUUAGAUAAGAUGAAAAGUAAGUUAUAGUAUUAGAAUGGCACCCAAUACAUAGUUUGGAAUUUUUUAAAAUGUCAGCUAUUAUGAUGAUAACAAUGGUGGCUUACAAGACCUUUGACCAUCUGGCUUCCCUCUCCAAGCAUGCCAAAUUAAUCACACUUCUUAAACACAUCUCUUGACCGGGGUGUUCUCACCAUGCCCUUUCUACAAACAAAAAGUCCUACAAGAGUUGGAGCCAUCCUCUCCUCAUCUUCUACUUUCUGCCUUCUUCUGGGACACGCUAUUGAUCACGAAGUAUCUUAUCCUUGAAAAAUCUCCUCUCUUCAACUCGAGUACUACUGCAGAAAGCAGCAACUUGGCGGCCUUUUAUGGAUGGGUGUUACUGAAGAAGGCAAUGUAUCGCAUCCUGUAUUACCUUCCCCUGACCUCAUAGCUUCCCAAAACAGGAACAAUCAUGGGCUUUGAAGAAUGAAGAUGUGGAGACCUGGAGACAGGUGGCACCUCGUGCUUCCUCCGAAGGGAGAGCCCAUUUCCUAACAGCUGGAUCAAAGGCAUGAAAUGAACAUGGAGUCCCUGAAGAUGAAGAGAAGGCAUGGCUUCCAGGGAGAAAUUGUACAUUACAGGAAUGCAGAUGUGAUUCCUAUGGAUGAGGGUAACCUAGAGGCUAGAAGAACAAUAGGACAGAAGAAGCCUGGGUCCCUGAACAACCUUGUGGAGCAUAGACACCUACGUGGCCUGGACUGCCAGCUCACAAUGGGCCUCUCUGUGAGAGAAGGAAACUUCCCUCUUGUUUAAGCAACUGUGCUUUUGAGAAUCUCUUGGUCUAUACCCUAAUGAAUAAGGCCAUCAUAAAUGGAUAUCAAAGUAAGGAAAUUUGUGUAAAUGAUUUAAUAAAACAUUACCUCAGGUAUGAAAUAA
rnacentral:lncRNA from 1 species